rnacentral:rRNA from 2 species
UUUAUUGGAGAGUUUGAUCCUGGCUCAGGAUGAACGCUGGCGGCGUGCCUAAUACAUGCAAGUCGAGCGAAUGGAUUAAGAGCUUGCUCUUAUGAAGUUAGCGGCGGACGGGUGAGUAACACGUGGGUAACCUGCCCAUAAGACUGGGAUAACUCCGGGAAACCGGGGCUAAUACCGGAUAACAUUUUGAACCGCAUGGUUCGAAAUUGAAAGGCGGCUUCGGCUGUCACUUAUGGAUGGACCCGCGUCGCAUUAGCUAGUUGGUGAGGUAACGGCUCACCAAGGCAACGAUGCGUAGCCGACCUGAGAGGGUGAUCGGCCACACUGGGACUGAG